UACGUAGGGACCAAGCGUUGUUCGGAUUUACUGGGCGUAAAGGGCGCGUAGGCGGCGUGGUAAGUCACUUGUGAAAUCUCUGAGCUUAACUCAGAACGGCCAAGUGAUACUGCUGUGCUAGAGUGCAGAAGGGGCAACUGGAAUUCUCGGUGUAGCGGUGAAAUGCGUAGAUAUCCGGAAGAACACCAGUGGCGAAGGCGGCCCGCUGGGCAGUGGCUGACGCUGAAGCGGCGACAGCGUGGGGAGCAAA
rnacentral:rRNA from 1 species